CGGCGGGGUAAAGGGUUGGGGAGCUAGCCGUUCCCUGCAACCUGAAAUCGGCUAUAUGCAGGAACCCGUUAACUGAAGGGAGCGGCGUCUCAAUUAAGAGUAAGCCUAUGCAGCUAACAAUGAACUCUUGCCCUACCGGGCCGGUGGAGGAGAACCCUCUCUGAAGGGAGAGGGAAACUCCCUUACCAACGAACCCAAUGAGGCUCGGAAGAGAGCAGUUGUAAGUUGGACGCGCAGGCGCUGGUAGGAGAUCAGGGGGGAGAAAGCUGCAUAGAAACUGCUCUUAAAAGGGGCGCCCACCCCUUCAGGAUGCCCGCCG
rnacentral:SRP_RNA from 1 species